UUCGCAAUGCCCGAAAGGGUGACGAAGCGACGCCGCGUGGGUGAGGAAGGCCUUCGGGUUGUAAAGCCCUGUCAGGAGUUAUGAAAUGUAAGUGCGCUAAUAUCGUGCUUAUUUGACAAAGGCUCCAAAGGAAGCCACGGCUAACUCUGUGCCAGCAGCCGCGGUAAUACAGAGGUGGCGAGCGUUGUUCGGAAUUAUUGGGCGUAAAGAGCACGUAGGUGGGUUUGCAAGUCAGAUGUGAAAGCCUUCUGUUCAACGGAAGAAUUGCAUCUGAAACUGCUAAUCUUGAGUAUAGGAGGGGAGAAUGGAACUUCUGGUGGAGCGGCGAAAUGCGUAGAUAUCAGAAGGAACGCCGGCGGCGAAAGCGAUUCUCUGGCCUAUUACUGACACUCAGUGUGCGAAAGCUAGGGGAGCAAACGGGAUUAGAUACCCCGGUAGUCCUAGCCGUAAACGAUGGGCACUAAGUAGA
rnacentral:rRNA from 1 species